AUUGCUUUCUUGCUUAUUACCUUUUUACUAAUUAGCGAUGCACGAUUCCAGACCAGUAAAUAUUUUUCCAUCGGGAGAAGUCAGGUCGAGAGAUGCAAGAUUUAUACGCUCGUUCUGUCAGUUAUCCCAGUGUCUGUUACGCGAUAGAAAAUGAACGAACUGAAUAAUAAAUGCAUUAUCGGCAUGAAGAUUGCUUGAUGUAGGCCACCGCUUUUUUUUCUAUCCUUCCGAUACCAUUUUUCUUUUUUUUCUUUUUUUUUUCUUUUUUUCUUUUUUUUUCUUUUUUUUCUUUUUUUUUUUUUUUUUUUUUGCGAAACACUUUGCUAGUCGUGAGAAGCAGCAAUUCGGUAAUACGAGCGGUAAUACGAGCGGUAAUACGAGACAAAGCGAUUCAGAACUCGAAUUCAUUUGUUGGAACGACGCCAUGGGCAAAAGUAGAUAAUGGAAAACUUUCUUCCAAAGACCAUUUGAUAGCGCCGACGUAAUCAAGAGUGUGACGAUAUUGCCAGAGACGUUUCUGCAAAUAGAAGACUAACUUAUUUACGAAUUGCCGUAACACGAUUGCCGCUGGUAGUAUGGUUAGUAAUCGCUUUAUUGAAUUUUCGCUUGAUGUGACAUCGUCGAGAGUUUCUAGCGAAAUUCUUCUCCCUGUAAAACUAUGUUUCUACAGCAAUGGCUGUAAUUUUCGAGUUACCGUUUGCGAAGAAAUCUUUUUCUUUGUUACGUGUAAUAGAUUAUUUUUAAGUUUUAAGUUUUAAAUUACAUUGGUAACCUUCUAUAAUUUAUUACUCGAAGGUGGUAAUUUUUUCUUAAAUAGUUUGUUUUUCCUAUAAUUUAUUAUAAUAUAUUUUACUACAGAAUCCUCAAAAACAUGAUUUUACAGAGGAUAAAGCGUGGGUAACUCACGACUGUCGCGAUCAUGACACUAUACAUACCUAUGUAUAGCACGUAUACUAAGCUAACUAAAAUAGCAAGUCAGAGAAAUGGAAACUUAGGAAAAUCUAAAGGAAGAUAAAACGUUCGAGCCUUGCCAGGAAUAUAAGAUGCUAAGUAAUCUUCCUAAGUAAUCUCCUCCAGCUUUUUCUAGUUUGAUCAAUAAUUAUUAGUACAUGUUAGGAAAAUAAAUAGAAUUUUUGUUCUCAAGCGAGGUAUAAUUUAAAUUUUGUAUGUACACAAAAAUGUUAAAUGUCUGUAAUAAACAUGGUAUAAUCAAUUUUUUUACAUAAAA